rnacentral:lncRNA from 1 species
CUCCCAUUUAAGAUACCCCAUGUCACAAAAUCAUCUAGUAUCAUGCAGAAAAAAUGUCUAAAGAACCAAAACAGAUUCAAUGCAGUGACGGCAGAAAGUGUAUGGGCAUGAAGAUUCAAAGAAAAAGAUGCGGCCGUUGAAAGAUUUAUAUGCUCCUUUGCUCCAGGAGAAAUCUCUUGAGACCUCACUCAGAGUGCACAUCCUUACCACAGUACAAGGCUAAUGAGCUUGGAUCGAUGGUGUUCUCAGCCCAGUGGACUGAAAACAAUAGAUUGAAGAUUUGUGGCAACCCUGUGACUACCAACUCUAUUGAAACCAUUUCUCCAAUAGCAUGAGCUCACUUCAGGUGGUGCUUGUGUGUGACUUGCCUGGGAAUUAAUUGCACAAUUCCUUAAUUUACACUCAUCCUUCUAGAAGGUGGGUAUACUACUCUUGCCAUUUUACAGAAAAAAAAGAUGAUUCUCUGGUCAUUUGUGCAACUUGCUCCAGUUCAGAUUACUAAGUAAAUGCCAAAUCUAGAAUUUAGACCAAGGUCUUUUUCAAUUCUAAAUGUAUGUUCUUUCUGGCUGCUUUCUUUUGCAACUGUUUCUGUUUUUUUUUUUUUUUUUUUUUUUUCUGUUUUCUAAAGUGAAUGCAGGUAAUUAAGAAAAACUGAACAAUAAUGGCAGCAUUUAUGGAAUAAAUGCAGAGCCCUUAAAAAUGACAUUAUUAAAGAAUAUGUUCCAUUUGAAUAUACAAGUUUAUUUUAGAUUUAUUUUUAGGCAUACUUUGUCUACCUUGAAUUGUAUAGUCUCGUCAAAGAGGUCCACAUCCCAAGCUAUAUUAAUAAGCAUAUACUCUUUCUUUUCCUAAAAGCAGUUAUUUCAGCCAAAGCAGAAAGUUUUUAUUUAUCUGCUUGUGCAGAGAUUUCCUGAUCCAAUACUAGCACAGAUUUAUGAAUUUAGUGAUUGCAGCAAGGAUCCAUCUAAACUAAGCUUAUGGUCAGAGAAUAGUCUUUUGCCCGCAUGCAGCUUCUAUUAGUGGUUGCCUUCUUACUCUGAUGUACAAUCUCAUCUGUGUUACCUAACGUAGUAGGAAAUGAAAACAUUGCCAACAUGAGACAAUCAGCUUGCAAAUAUUUUAUCCCCUGGACCCCCGUUAUAGUAAAUCACAUUUCUGCUAUGUACUAGCCUUUUAAACUUUUAUCAUAAUAGCAAAAGCUUUGAGUUAGUUACUUUGUGCUCAUUUUGUAAUGAGAUGGGGAAAUCUCUUGUCAUAUAUUGUAUAUAUACAUAAAGUCAUGGAUUCCUUCUAGGAUUUCUUAACCUAUAAGAUAAACUUGGUGUUUGAAACAUCUCUCCCCAUUUCAUCCUAACAAAUACUCCCUCUGCAAAGAAAAGCUCAUUAGCUUUAUAAUCUCUCAAUUAAUGAUAAAAUGCUAUAUCCAUACACAAAUAUAUAUUUCUCUUGCAUCUUCAGUCACUUAAGUGUAUCCUGUAAGUACUCUAGGAAUGGGAACUUGUCACAAGUUUUAGCACGUAUUUGAUAGGGAUGCUUUCAAAAUAAGCUCACAUUCCUAAGACAGCACAUGUGUGAUUUAUCUGCCUAGAAUGUUUACUUCACUCUGGAAAUUGUAGAAUGCCCAUGUGUCCUAAAUUGUUGAAUGCCCAUUUGUCCUAAGUCUCUGCUUAAAUAUUUGUACUUUUUUUGUGAUCCAGAUCCUCUAUUCUCUGGCCAGGUAGACAUAUUCUCUAUUUUUCCAUAAUACUUCUAAUAGAGUAUGUAUCACAUAGUUUGGUAUUUUCAUAAAUAAAUGGUAACAACCUUCUCUUGGGAGUGUUCAGUGGGUGAUUGUGGUGAAGCCCAGGUCAGAAUGAUACCUAUUGUUUACUCCAUAAAGUCUAGUUUUCUAGGCUGUGAUUGCUGUGAAACAGUGGAUUCUCACAGAGGCCAAGAAGCAGCCCCAGAAUCCAGAUGCUAAUACUCAUUCCCUUUCUCUUCUCUUUUUCUUAGCCUAAGACAGACAUCAAGUAGAGACUUCCCAGGUAAGGGUAGAAAUCAAGAGCAGUGUGAGGGCAGCACAUAGAGAGAACCACCUUAGGUUCUAUCUUAAAGCACAUCUCUGCUCACCCAUUCAGAGUGUGUUCAGACAGCAGGCCUUUGGGUCAGGUGCCUCCCUGUCUUUUGCUUGAAAUCAGGGUGAUAGGAUCACUCCAAAUGCCUUGACAAAUUAGAAAGAACCACGUACGUAGGUGCCUUUAAGCAGCCAGAUUCUGAAUUGUUAUUAGAAACAAUGACACCCUGGAUGAGAAACUGGCUAGCAUGGAGAAUGAGGAUGUCAGUUUCUCCCGAGUUGACAUAGUUUACUAUUUUACUGAAUUGCUGAUAAGCCUCCAUGAAAAACAUUCAAUUUACCAGGUUAGGUGUUCAGCUACCCAAAGUGAUGGAUAAAGAAGCAAAGUCCCAAUGGUUUUGAAUUUUAUCUCCCCUCAAUAUUAGAACAUUUGCAUCCUUACAUUUAACUUAGGAAAAUUGACAAUCUUUUUUUGGUAAUUCUGCUAUGUUUCAUCAAUAUAUUUCACUGCCUUGAUGAAAAAUAAGUUGCGUUUUAGUUGAAAUAGUUCACACAUAAUCGAUAGAGUACCUACCAGAAUUAGAGUCAAAGAGGCUCCCUUUUCUUAAUUCAAAAUUUUCCCAAAAGAAUAUUUUGUUACGAUAAUAUGCUUGUAUUUUGAUCAUAAUUAGCAAGUUAUUUUAGGCUUCUAAUCAGAAAACAGUUGAAGUGACUGUGCCUUUUUUUUGUAUAUGUCAUUUGCUCUAAAGUCUUAUAUUUUGUUUCAGUACUCAAGAGCAAACAAGUUUACUUACAAAAACUUUUUAAGAGAACUUGAAAAUAGAAUGUAUCAUGCCCAUCAGAUUUUGUCCUGGGAUCCUGGCAACUAUAUGUAUUAUAGAAAAUUAAAUUUAAAUAUUCCAUAAGUUAUCAAGG